CUAACCCAAUCCCCAAAUAUGACCCUAAUAUUAGAAAACCCUAGUCUUAUCCCCAUCCCAACCCAAAUGGCGCUCCAUCUUCAUCUCUUUCAUUUGUCGCGCCCAACAUCACCAGAACUCACCUCUGCCUCGCCCGAAUUCGCCCGAGUUCACCCCAAAAACUCACCUCACGUGCUCCAACCUCUCUCCUAUAGCCACGUAGCAACCAACUCUGACAACAAGAAGAUUCCUUCCAGAUAUUUUACGCGCCUUCAGCUUCUCGAUUGAUUUGCUAGAUGAAUGGGGUCGUGGAUGUAUGAAAAUCAAUCUAUACCCUCCAUUUGUCCCAAAAAUCGUUCACAAGGAAUAAGGGAUUUUUCGAAUUUGAGGAGAAGAUUCGAGAAUUUUUUAGAGGUGAUAUAAGGUGAGGAUGUUCUUGUUUGGGUUGGGGGGGGGGGUUCUUCUUUUUUGGGGGAUUUUUGAGAGAUUUCUUUAAGAGAAAUUGAAGGAAGAAAAUUAGGGUUCAAAACUUUCUUCUUCUUUUCCAUUGUUCUUCUUCAUUUUCUUAUACCAUAACAGAGAAAAAAAUAUUAUUGAGGUUCCAUGAUUUCACUUGGUGUCAGUUUAUUUAGCAUUUCGAAAUAAUAGAGUUUUUUUACUUCGAUUCUGAUUUUUGGGCGAACAAUGGAAUUCGUCGAGAAGUGUGAAUCUGUUGCUUUUUAUUGAGCUGUAGUUGUCCUCUUUGGUUCUGUGGUGCUUUUAUUCUUCAGAAACCAGAGAUUCAUUUUCCUUUUCCUUUUGCUGUGUUGCUCACGAGUGUAUUAUGUUUGCUCCUGUGAAAUCAGCGAUUCCUGCCCCAAAUGAUGCCUAUGUGAGGUUUGUUGAAAGCUGUUGUUGUUGAGCUUGGCUAUAGUUUGUGGAUUUGGCCACUGAUUGGCCAAAAUCAACAAGUAUUAAGUCAAAAUGGACAUGUCGUUGGUGCUGUAUUAGAGGUUGAUAUUUCUAUUGUGGUGGAUUAAAGCUUGGGUGAAUAGACUAUAUUCACUUUGGCAAGUAUUCACCAAUACAUCAUUUUCAUGAGGAAUUAUAAUAGUAGUAGUUAGUUUCGUCUUUUGAAGUUUGGAUUUGACUUUAUUUUUGGAUUUCCAGGUUAUUCCUCUAUUGAUUAGCCACUGUUCUUCUA